rnacentral:rRNA from 1 species
CGAAAGCCUGACGGAGCAAGACCGCGUGGGGGAUGAAGGCUCUUGGGUUGUAAACCCCUUUUCUCAGGGAAGAAUAACUGACGGUACCUGAGGAAUAAGCAUCGGCUAACUCCGUGCCAGCAGCCGCGGUAAGACGGAGGAUGCAAGUGUUAUCCGGAAUCACUGGGCGUAAAGAGUCCGUAGGUGGUUCAUCAAGUCUGCUGUUAAAGCGUGCAGCUCAACUGCAUAUAGGCAGUGGAAACUGUUGAACUAGAGUAUGGUAGGGGUAGGGGGAAUUCCCAGUGUAGCGGUGAAAUGCGUAGAGAUUGGGAAGAACACCGGUGGCGAAAGCGCCCUACUGGGCCAUAACUGACACUGAGGGACGAAAGCUAGGGUAGCG